CGCCGGGCAGGGCCGCGCCGGGCCGCGCCGGCUGGCGGCCACCUGCGACCAGCCCGCACGUGCCGCCAUCCGACACGGUGUCCCGCCAUCAUUAUACCAUUAUACCAUUCAUAUUAUCUGACAUGUCAUUCCAAUUUCUACCCUAAUGUUAACACUUAAGACCACACAGUUACAGGAUUGGAACUUUGCUACGAAGCGUUUCUGAUAUCCCUCUAAACUAAGCAUAAUUAAAAGAAAAACAGCUUUAUUUCUUUCGCAAUAGGGACUAUAAUAAACAAUCCGAUCUGUGUUAAAUCGGGAAGGGGAUGUAAAUAAUGUGUUUGGAGUCGCGGUCGCGAACAAUUAAGAUUGAAUCGGUCUGAUGACAUUAUAAUACAGGUUUGAUACGGGGUGCAUUUGUAUGAGUUAGUUAAGAGCAUUAGUUAUUUUAAUCGCAACAAGUAAUAUUAAGCGCGACAAGUUGCGCUGAGUGGUCGCACGUGCAGCGCGCGCGACCAAACUCCGUACUGUGUACCUACAUGUGAUCUGACUCGGCACCACUGUAUUGUGAAUUAUUAUAACCACGUUACCAAAAUCGCAAAGCACGGCAAAUCCUAAGAAUUUUUUUAUUAAGUAAAUCUUUAAACAAUCCCUUAUCUUAUUACACAUCUGAUUGCAGUUUGUCUGAGGGUAUAAAUAGCUAAAACAUAAGUAAUCAAGAAUCAAGAAUCUAGAAUAUUUAUUUGUUAAACAUAGGUACAUUAAAUGCUGGUGUUAAAGAUACAUAAGGAGCGCUAUGUUUUGCCAUGAAGGCGUACAAAUAUAACAAAUUAAGUAAAGAUUUAUAAGUAAUGAUAAUCUCAAUUACUACGCACAUUACGGAGCCUAACACGUCAAUAGUAUGUUGUACAUGAAGUAGGUCAUAUUAUGUGGUUAACCAAAUGUCUUAUAUAAAUUAUGUUUUAAUUAUUUGCAGAAUUUAUUUUUGUUGUUUGUUUCUUAGGUAAACUAUUUAUUAGACACAUUUGAAUAUUGUCGUCCCCAGAGAUUGCUCUGCGGACUUCAUACUUGCUUGCACAUGCAGCCCUAGUUUCAUGGUUGUGAUUGAACACUGAGGAACUCUCCCUGCUACUGCACUGCCAUGGCUAGAGUUCAGAAUAAAUUAUUCAUGUUUGAAGCUAGAUAUUCCAAUAAAUUAUCCAGUCUUCUGUUUGUUUCAAGCAAAGCAACAAAAUCUGAGUGUCGCAAGUCUGAUUAGCAUUUAAUGUUUUUUUUUUAACCUUAGAACUUACGAUCUUUUGAUUUUUCAUACAUCGCGUUUUACCUAGAUAAACAAACCCUAUUUAGAUCAAAUUUAUAUACAAAGUAGAGUAAACCUAGCACUCGUCGGCCAUCACGCUCGUUAUGCUCGCUCGCCUUCGCGACUCUGCGCGGUUAUACUCAAUACAGUGCUGUGUAAAAAGGUAAUGUAAUACCUAAUCCCACCGUCACAGCCGCAGAUUGAGCAGAUUCCCUGAUUACUUACUAGUGUAGUGCGUCCGAGAUGUUUCGGGAGAUACGAUCCGCUAUAUUUUAUCGCCUUGGUCUGCACGUGUUCCGAUGAGUGCGCGAUAAGCCGCGGCGGGCCCGGCCGGCAGGCGCGCGGCUCGGGGCUGCGGCGGGCAGCGCGCCGCCUGGCUAAUGUCACACCCUCAACUCGCCCUCACCGUUACCUACCAUACAAUUCAAUAACGUAAUUGAAGAUUUUAUUGCUAUCCGGCGAAGUCAGAUUAUGAAACAUGAAUACCUACUGCUUAUGUGCAUGGAAAAUAUAGGGUUUAGUACCAUAAUGGUUUAUUAAUCUUGAUCAAAAUGUAUCAAGUAGGACUUCUUUUUUUCACUCGUCAGCCGAAAAUAGACCAACAACUACAGUACAUAGAUACUAUUACCUACUGUGACUACGGUAAAAACAUAGUAACCGAGUUAUAAAUUGAUAUCUAAUAUCCUCUACCGGUGAAAAUGGGCGGUCCCGACGAACACCGAAAAGUCAAUAUUAUUACAAAGUGCAUAUUAGUAGAGCUCUUAAAUAACAAUUACUAGCGACACGUGUGCCCAUGAGCAGGGUGCGCCAAAUACGUAAGGGGUGCAAAACAGCAAAACAUACUUUAGGUUCUUACACAUAAUACUCAUUUUCCCAAGGAAUAUAUUUGUUUGUGCAGCUGCACUUGCGCUUUGUUUCUCUUCUUCCUUUUAUUCAACACAAUCAUUGUGUUAAGAGCUUAAAUGUAACAAUUAUAAAAUCAUUCUAGGUAUAUGUAUACUUAUUAAAAGUGCACUGUUUAUUAACCAGCACUGCGUGCACUUCAGGCUCAGUCCACCUUUGAAAGAUUUUGUGAUAUUGCUACACUAGCUGUUUCUCGCUACUUUGUCCGCGUAGCUAAUGUAGCUAUGAUAUAAUACAAAUAUUCGGCUUUUUUCAAAUCAAAUAUAUCUUCCCAUUUUUUUAACAUUUCUCAUUGCUGUUCUGCUCCUAUUGCUAAUAGCGGGGUGUUAUAUAGUCUAUAGCCAAAAUAAAUUAGCUAUCUGACAUAGAAAGAAUUUAUGAAAUCAGCCCAGUAGUUCGAACAAACAAAGUUACAAUUAAACGCUUCAACUUUAUAUUAUUUUAUGUACUACUGUAACAGUGACUUCGUCCGCCAGGCUUAAAAUGAUAAUUUUCUGUUUAUAAAUAUUUAGUGUAUGAUAAUUUUUUGGACUAAAAAACCACACUACUAAAAACGAUUUCGUUUAAGGCUAAACCACAGCGGAUUUUGUGAGUAAAGGAAAUUAAUCGUCGCGGCUGCAAACGCUGAUGGUUCUCAUCGUGCUGGCCGCAGAUAUCCGGACAUUAUUUAAAAGCAAUCUUAGGAUUUGUUAUGAAAGAACCAAAUUUUUUACUAGUUUAUGGGUGGUACUAAAAUUGCAUGAAAAACCGUUGUGCAUCCUAAGAUUUAGAUCGGACGACGACUAAACUGUUUAUACUUCAGAGCGGAAGCCCUUAUACUUGGAAAAAAAUAAAGAUUUAUUUAUAAACUUCAACUAUAAUAUUAUUCAUGUUGAAUUUCCAAUCAAAUGUUCAAGAAAGGUCAUCAUUCAUGAAUAAUGAUCAUUUCAUGAUUAUUUUUUAUUU